UAAAAUGAGAAUUCCUAUCAAUUUUUAAUCUAGCAAUAUAAUUCGUAAUGGCUAAUCAUUUGAUAGUUUAAACAUAAGAAAUGGCAGCAGUGUGAAGAAAUUUGUCGAAACGUUGUUUACUCUGAAUUGAAACAGGACAGCAUUUUAGCUAUGGUUAAAUAAACGCAAUCGACUAUUUGAAUUUAAUUUAUAUUUAGAAAUAUUCAAAAUUAUACUCUUUUGCAUAACGCUAAUGCGUGUCUGACUGACUUUUUUUAGCUCUCAUCUAGAAAACAUAUCAGAAUGAAACUGAGGUGGUGUCACAUAUUUCCAUCAAGCAAGUUCUUAAUUUUUAGCUAGUACAAAAUUAAAAUAGGAAAGUAAAAUUCAUUGUAAAAAUGCAGGCACCACAAGUAACUCCUGCUCAGCGCUUCUUCCACACUCCAAAAUUUCAGCCUCCAACUUUUCAGAAGCCUAAUCACUUAGUAUUCACAGCUCAUCGGCAACAUUUACAGCCAACUCAAGCUAUAGAAUUUGAUGGAAAACGUCUUCGAAAAGCAGUUACUCGGAAAACAGUUGAUUAUAACUCAUCUGUGAUCAAAUACCUAGAAACUCGUGUAUGGCAGCGAGACUAUAGGGAUAGAAGAGCUAUGCAACCUGAUACUGCUUAUUACACAGAG